rnacentral:siRNA from 1 species
UAUCGAGUGUCACGUCAUCGAUAC